rnacentral:rRNA from 1 species
GGCUCAGGAUGAACGCUGGCGGCGUGCUUAACACAUGCAAGUCGAACGGUGAAGCCCAGCUUGCUGGGUGGAUCAGUGGCGAACGGGUGAGUAACACGUGAGCAACCUGCCCCGGACUCUGGGAUAAGCGCUGGAAACGGCGUCUAAUACUGGAUAUGAGCUGCAACCGCAUGGUUAGCAGUUGGAAAGAUUUUUCGGUCUGGGAUGGGCUCGCGGCCUAUCAGCUUGUUGGUGAGGUAAUGGCUCACCAAGGCGUCGACGGGUAGCCGGCCUGAGAGGGUGACCGGCCACACUGGGACUGAGACACGGCCCAGACUCCUACGGGAGGCAGCAGUGGGGAAUAUUGCACAAUGGGCGGAAGCCUGAUGCAGCAACGCCGCGUGAGGGACGACGGCCUUCGGGUUGUAAACCUCUUUUAGCAAGGAAGAAGCGAAAGUGACGGUACUUGCAGAAAAAGCGCCGGCUAACUACGUGCCAGCAGCCGCGGUAAUACGUAGGGCGCAAGCGUUAUCCGGAAUUAUUGGGCGUAAAGAGCUCGUAGGCGGUUUGUCGCGUCUGCUGUGAAAACCCGAGGCUCAACCUCGGGCCUGCAGUGGGUACGGGCAGACUAGAGUGCGGUAGGGGAGAUUGGAAUUCCUGGUGUAGCGGUGGAAUGCGCAGAUAUCAGGAGGAACACCGAUGGCGAAGGCAGAUCUCUGGGCCGUAACUGACGCUGAGGAGCGAAAGGGUGGGGAGCAAACAGGCUUAGAUACCCUGGUAGUCCACCCCGUAAACGUUGGGAACUAGUUGUGGGGUCCAUUCCACGGAUUCCGUGACGCAGCUAACGCAUUAAG